rnacentral:sRNA from 1 species
AGACACAGCGGUGAAACCGGUUUGGUUUGGCGGCUUAAUUUUCGGUGAACUCGACUGCAUAGAUUACGCACCAGCCACUUCAAUUGGCUGCCAAAUACCUUUUGUUUACUUUGUAUGUCUUUACUUGCAGUAUGUAUAUUUGCUGGCAACCCACCAACAGAAAAAAACUUGGCCCAAAAGCGGCGACUGUUUCUUUUCUCUUUAUACUUGGCUGACGCUCACCUUGGUGGCCAGAGUUCAGUGCCAAUGUCGUUCUCAGUCAGUUAAAGUGGGAGUUGAUACAAUUAUCUUGGAUCCAAGCUACCCGAACAUCUUACUAGAUGUUACAUACUAAUAGCAACAACGCUUAUAACUGUCACAAAACUCUCAUCGAAUUUGGGGCUACCGCUUGAAAAUGUUGCUAUCUGUUAGAGAGUGCGUCUAAAUUCAUUUGUAGAUCAAUAAGUGAAUGAAUUCCAACAUGUUAAGAUUAAGCUUGUUUAUUGUUCGUCAAUAAAAUGCCAUUCCACUGGUCUGCGCCUGCAGAAUAGCGCCUAAAUGUAUAUUUAAAUGUGUUUA